AUGUCACACAGAUGAUAAAGAGCAAGGAUAGACCUCUUCAUUUCAUGUUUGAGGCAAUUCUCUAAGACAGCUGAUUUCUCCAGAGCUGGUAGGAGACAGACUUGCUCACGUGAUAGAUCCGGCCAUGAUAUUGUCCCUAAGAGAACGAGAUGCUCUUUGCAGAAGACAUAGAAGAUUCCUGAAACUGGGAAAGGGGCCUAGAAACCUGGAGAAGAGUGAAGAAGGCAUUUUCCCUCCCCUGCUUAGGCAUCUGCCACCAUAUUCAAUACUUUCUCCAGGGUUCUCAGGUUUCCCAUUGGCUUGGAAUUUGUCAAUUAGUUUUGCUGGCUGGACAGAAAGCCACACGGAUCCUCUUGUCUUGGUCUCCUGACAUUUGGAUUAAAGUCACCUGGAGGUGCAGGCCAUCGCUAUGUUAAACCUAUGAGGUGAUGAUAAACCACACAA
rnacentral:lncRNA from 1 species